UUGGGUAGCGCAGCUAACGCGUGAAGUUGACCGCCUGGGGAGCUACGGUCGCAAGAUUAAAACUCAAAGGAAUUGACGGGGCACCCGCACAAGCGGUGGAUGAUGUGGAUUAAUUCGAUGCAACGCGAAAAACCUUACCUACCCUUGACAUGUCUGGAAUGCCGAAGAGAUUUGGCAGUGCUCGCAAGAGAACCGGAACACAGGUGCUGCAUGGCUGUCGUCAGCUCGUGUCGUGAGAUGUUGGGUUAAGUCCCGCAACGAGCGCAACCCUUGUCAUUAGUUGCUACGAAAGGGCACUCUAAUGAGACUGCCGGUGACAAACCGGAGGAAGGUGGGGAUGACGUCAAGUCCUCAUGGCCCUUAUGGGUAGGGCUUCACACGUCAUACAAUGGUCGGGACAGAGGGUCGCCAACCCGCGAGGGGGAGCCAAUCCCAGAAACCCGAUCGUAGUCCGGAUCGCAGUCUGCAACUCGACUGCGUGAAGUCGGAAUCGCUAGUAAUCGCGGAUCA
rnacentral:rRNA from 1 species